UCUCUCACAGGACAUUUACUGAGCAUCACUGGUGACCCGCUCUGGUUCUGAGCCAGGUAACAACACUUGGAUGGAAAUUCUCAUUCUCAGCCUGUGGCGUGGAGGGCAUCCCAUCCUAGAGAUGAGAAAACUGGGACCCAGAGAAGUUAAGCAACAGGCCCAAGAUCACAAAGCAAGCCUCGGUGCCUCCCCUCACCUUGGACUGCCUGUGCUGGACAACCCUCCUGCUGGGAUACUGCUUCCCUUCUCUGCUGGGCUCUCUGCUGGCCCUGCCUCCAGCAAGCCCACUCCACAAGACAGCCAGAGGGCGCGUCCAAACAGGUGGGAUGCUCCCUGGCUCCCCACUGCCCUACAAGUCUUGGUGCAGCUGAUGGAGUUCAGACAGGGUGACUUCAGUGGAGCAGGUAAGCGUCCACUUAGGGUCAGGGCUGGAGCCCCAGGGCCCUGCCUCUGUCAUCCUGCUGUCCUUCCUCCGUCACGGGGGGCCACCGGGCCCAUGCCCUUCCUGCUCCCCUGAAGCCCAUGGGGCCCUGCCGGGCUGGGGGAGGACGGUCACAUGAGCUCCAGGGCCCCUGGUGUCAGGAGGAAACCCUUUCUAGCUCCAUGGUGUGCUGAGGACAUGGGAGCCCGGAGCUCAGAGGGCGCUGAGCAGGUUCCUGGAGGCUGCGGGGGAGGCCUGGCUCCCAUCCUCCCACUUGACGUCACGACAGUGGGGUGGGGCUGGGCUGCGGCUGUCACUGUUGCACAGUCAGCCGAGGGCCCGAGAGCCGCUCCCACCCUGUGCCCCUGGCGUGUUGUGGGAUCCCGCCACGCCCUGGGCACAGCCUCUGUCUUCCCUCUUCGGUCGUGGCUCUCAGCCUGGCCCCACAGUGUCAUGCUCCGGCAACACUAAAUUGCUCCUCCUCCCUUCCAGGCUGUAGGCAGCCAGGCUCUCAUCUCUGUGACUUUGUCCCCGUGUCCCCUCUGCCAGGAUCUCACUCCUCCCUGCUGCUCCAGGUUAACUCCUCUCCACGUAGCACCUGAGGGGGCCUGAAACCCCAGCUCACCCCACCCUGCCCUGGAUGAGGUCAAUUGCUGCCCCUCACUCCCCACCAGCCCACUCCCCACCAGCCCUGUCCUUGAGUGUUGCAGUGCCAGGUCUCCUGUUCUCACCCUGGCCCCCAAAACUGUAGUUCCCCCCAGAUGGCUCAUUUCUAGACCCAGACUAUGUUCUACCCUGGCUCAGAGCUGCCCCAACUCCUCUCUGUACCAAGACUAAAAGGCCAGUUCCUCACCCCAAAUUCCUGUCCCCAGGGACCCGCCACAGCCCCAGCCUCGCCAUUCCUGGCCCCCCCCACCUUCCCGCCAGGCACGCUGGCCUUCGGGCUGUGCACAUGCCCCUGAGAGCCUGCCUUUGCACCCCUCAGUGCCUAGAGCAGGACCAGGCUGAGCAGGGGGGUCACACGCUCACCCUCUCAGCCUCCAGUGAAUUGAUAUCAGCCCUGGGAGAAGGUCUUUGUCCCCAAAGCUGCUCGGACCUCGCCUGGUCUUUCCCAGCAGAACCUACAGUUGGCCCCUGGAGGAAGCCCACAUCAGACCCUUGGGAUGCCUCUGACGGGCCCAGGGCCGAGUCCUCGCAGAGCUGCUUCUGCCCCCCGCCAGGGCCGUCUGGGGUCUCCCUGCAGAAGGCCUUGUGCCCCAAGCCUUCCAUCAAAGGAGCAGCAACAAGCCCUGUGGAAACCCGGGCUGGGUGGGCAGAAUCGCCUCGCCUGGCGGAGCCUCUCCUGUGCCGGUGGCCUGUGUUCCCUGUGCCCGUGGCCACCCUCGUUCCUCAUGGCUCAGAAGAGCCUCUCUGUCCCCUCCAACUUGCUCCUGCUGCGCUGACUCUGUCCUUUGUGUGGCCUGGAAGCCGACAGCAGACCACUUCCAACAGAAGGUGGGGGGCACCCCAGCCCCUGCCCACCGUGUGCACCCAUUCAUUUAGUCCUCAGACCCCCGAAAGGGAGGUGUGUACCCCACCCCGUUUUCCAGAUGAGGAAACAGGUUCACAGCGCUCAAGGAACAGGGCCUGUCUGAGGUCACACAGCCCGGCUGGGGUUCCAUUCUAGGCCAGCCUCACACUGAGAUGCCAGAUUUUAAUGUAAAUAGUAGCGCUUUAGCCAUCCUGGUGCGUGUCUCCCGCACAGCGAGACAACUAUGACGAGCUGCCCUCUGCCUCCGUGUGGCUAGAGGGUCGACCACGGUGGCCCCGGAGUCCAACAGGACAACUGGUCACUGCUGGCACUGCUCUGGGUUUAGCCGUGCCCGCCCAGGCCUGGGCAAUCCCGUGGCUGACCUCUGCAGUGAUACUGGGACUCCACCCGCACAGAGAGGACUCUGAAUGUCAUCACCAUGGCCGCUGGCUGUUGUGCAGCUGCCCCUGGGGGAAAGACACAUGCAUGCAUGUGCGUGUGUGUGUGUGUACGUGGUGUGUAGGCCUAUGUGUAUGUAGUGAGGGAGGGGACUGUCACGGUGCUGAGCUAGGUCCCUCAGCCAGGAGGGGUGGCCUGGAGAGGAGUGAGCUUUGGUCAUCACCAGCUCAAUUGGGGCCACCCUGACGGUGUGGAUUUGGGCUCAAGGCCUCCCGUCUUGCUCCCCUGCCCUCCCCUCCCCCUCCUUCACUGGCCACACCUCUCCAUUUGGAUCCUCGACUCCGGGAUGACCUGGCUGGCCGCGCCACUGCUCCCUCCUGCCUGGAGACUGGAGUCAGGAUGCAGCAGGUCACAGGCCGCUGCUGUCCCCACUGAUCUCCAUCCAACCUGGAUUGUAGAGGAAGAGCCCAGGCCCUGGGUAGCUGCAUGGCUGAAAGCACCACACACGAGUCAGGGCAGGCCAAAGCCAGGCCCCCAGUCCCAGCGCCGGCUCUGCCGGCCUCUUCCAGCCA